UUACGGCCAUAUUACGUUAAAACACCGAUUCCUGUACGACCACAGAAGUUAAGCAAUGUAGAACCUGGUCAUUACUUAGAUGGGUAAUCACUUGGGAAUACCAGAUGCU